rnacentral:rRNA from 1 species
GACGAACGCUGGCGGCGUGCUUAACACAUGCCAGUCGAACGGAAAGGCCCUGCUUUUGUGGGGUGCUCGAGUGGCGAACGGGUGAGUAACACGUGAGUAACCUGCCCUUGACUUUGGUAUAACUUCAGGAAACUGGUGCUAAUACCGGAUAGGAGCUCCUGCUGCAUGGUGGGGGUUGGAAAGUUUCGGCGGUUGGGGAUGGACUCGCGGCUUAUCAGCUUGUUGGUGGGGUAGUGGCUUACCAAGGCUUUGACGGGUAGCCGGCCUGAGAGGGUGACCGGCCACAUUGGGACUGAGAUACGGCCCAGACUCCUACGGGAGGCAGCAGUGGGGAAUAUUGCACAAUGGGCGGAAGCCUGAUGCAGCAACGCCGCGUGCGGGAUGACGGCCUUCGGGUUGUAAACCGCUUUCGCCUGUGACGAAGCGUGAGUGACGGUAAUGGGUAAAGAAGCACCGGCUAACUACGUG